rnacentral:rRNA from 1 species
GAUGAACGCUGGCGGCGUGCUUAACACAUGCAAGUCGAACGGAAAGGCCCAAGCUUGCUUGGGUACUCGAGUGGCGAACGGGUGAGUAACACGUGGGUGAUCUGCCCUGCACUUCGGGAUAAGCCUGGGAAACUGGGUCUAAUACCGGAUAGGACCACUUCUUGGAUGUUGUGGUGGAAAGUUUUUUCGGUGUGGGAUGAGCUCGCGGCCUAUCAGCUUGUUGGUGGGGUAAUGGCCUACCAAGGCGUCGACGGGUAGCCGGCCUGAGAGGGUGUACGGCCACAUUGGGACUGAGAUACGGCCCAGACUCCUACGGGAGGCAGCAGUGGGGAAUAUUGCACAAUGGGCGCAAGCCUGAUGCAGCGACGCCGCGUGGGGGAUGACGGCCUUCGGGUUGUAAACUCCUUUCGCCAGGGACGAAGCGUUUUGUGACGGUACCUGGAGAAGAAGCACCGGCUAACUACGUG